UUUCAGUGAUGUCUUAACAAAUGUCUGACCUGAACAUAAAUGUGGACAAUAUGUUACUGAGUAA